GGCCUAACAGAUCGACAACACAAGCAUAAUGUUCCAUUUCUGGUACCACACCAUAGGUGCCCUCCAUUUGAUUAAAAAUUUCCAGACCAUCCUCCACCAUUCCUCCAUGGCUACAGGCGAAAAGGAUACAUAACAAUGUAACAGCGUUGGCUUUCACAGCUGACUGUUCCAUCUUUCUGAAGAGUUGAAGGGCAUCUUCAACAAGACCGUGUUGAGCAUAAGUGGAUAUAAUUGCAGUCCAAGUAACAGUAUCAGGGUUAGAUAUCCUUUCAAAUAUAUUCUUUGCCUCUGUUAGAUUGCCGCAUUUAGAGUACAUGUCAAUUAGAGCACUUUCAAUGCAUGACUCAGCAUCCAAGCUAGCCUUGCAUAUCAGACCGUGAAUUUGUUGGCCAUAUUCUAGUAAACAAAGACCACCGCAUGCUGUAAUCACACUAGAAAAAGUAAAAUGAUUCGGUGCAAAGCCUUCGUUGCACAUCUGUGAGAAGAUAGCCAAGGCUUUCCCCCACUCAGAACAUUGACAAUAUGCAGUCACCAUGGUUGUCCAAGAUACUAUAUCUUUCUUUUCCAUUUUAUAGAAUACCUUCUCUCCAGCUUCAAGAGACUCACAUUUGACAUAUGCAUCGGCAAGGGCAUUCAAUACACUAAUUUCCAUCGCAUCGAAUCCACAUUUUAGAGCCACCCCAUGCGCCUCCUUUAAGGAUUUCAAACACUUCAAACCAGCAAUUGAGUUGAACACACAACAAAAUGUGUAAAGAUCUGGUUUGACAUCAUUUUGGCACAUUCUUGUGAACAUUUCCAAAGCUUCAAGGUGACAACCAGCUUGUGAAUAACCCGUGAUCAUUGCAUUCCAAGGUGCGUUAACCAGACAAUUCGCGAACUUCGAGUCAAAAAGAACUCGCGCAUCACACAGAACCCCGCACUUAGAGUACAUAUUAAUAAGAGCUGUUCCAACUGAAGUAUUGCUAUCCAAUCCCCAUUCAUAAGCAUACCUGUGAACUUCAUGACACCUGUUAAUGUCACCUAAAAGCCCAACUGCCUUGGAUAUACAUAAAAAGGUGGUUUUAUUAGGCGACACCCCAUUUUCAAUCAUGUUGAUGAGAAAAUCAAAUGCUUGUAAGUAUAAACCAUUUGAGGUAAACCCAGAAAUCAUUGCAUUCC
rnacentral:lncRNA from 1 species